CCUACGGGUGGCUGCAGUAGGGAAUUUUCGGCAAUGGGGGAAACCCUGACCGAGCAACGCCGCGUGUGCGAUGAAGGUCUUCGGAUCGUAAAGCACUGUUGUAAAGGAAGAAUAGCCAUAUUAGAAAUAUGGUCUGACGGUACUUUAUCAGAAAGCCACGGCUAACUACGUGCCAGCAGCCGCGGUAAUACGUAGGUGGCGAGCGUUAUCCGGAAUUAUUGGGCGUAAAGGGUGCGUAGGCGGCAUGUUAAGUUUGUGGUGAAAGCGUGGGGCUCAACCCCAUUAAGCCACAGAUACUGGCAAGCUAGAGUGCAGAAGAGGGUAGUGGAAUUCCAUGUGUAGCGGUAAAAUGCGUAGAUAUAUGGAGGAACACCAGUGGCGAAGGCGGCUACCUGGUCUGUAACUGACGCUCAGGCACGAAAGCGUGGGGAGCAAAUAGGAUUAGAUACCCCUGUAGUC
rnacentral:rRNA from 1 species